rnacentral:rRNA from 1 species
AACGAACGCUGGCGGCAUGCCUAACACAUGCAAGUCGAACGAGACCUUCGGGUCUAGUGGCGCACGGGUGCGUAACGCGUGGGAAUCUGCCCUUGGGUUCGGGAUAACAGUUGGAAACGACUGCUAAUACCGGAUGAUGACGUAAGUCCAAAGAUUUAUCGCCCAAGGAUGAGCCCGCGUAGGAUUAGCUAGUUGGUGAGGUAAAGGCUCACCAAGGCGACGAUCCUUAGCUGGUCUGAGAGGAUGAUCAGCCACACUGGGACUGAGACACGGCCCAGACUCCUACGGGAGGCAGCAGUGGGGAAUAUUGGACAAUGGGCGAAAGCCUGAUCCAGCAAUGCCGCGUGAGUGAUGAAGGCCUUAGGGUUGUAAAGCUCUUUUACCCGGGAUGAUAAUGACAGUACCGGGAGAAUAAGCUCCGGCUAACUCCGUG